GAUGAACGCUAGCGACAGGCUUAACACAUGCAAGUCGAGGGGCAGCAUAAAAGUAGCAAUACUUUGGUGGCGACCGGCGCACGGGUGAGUAACGCGUAUGCAACCUACCUAUCAGAGGGGGAUAACCCGGCGAAAGUCGGACUAAUACCGCAUAAAACAGGGGCACCGCAUGGUGAUAUUUGUUAAAAAUUUAUUGCUGAUAGAUGGGCAUGCGUUCCAUUAGGUAGUUGGAGAGGUAACGGCUCACCAAGCCCACGAUGGAUAGGGGAACUGAGAGGUUGGUCCCCCACACUGGUACUGAGACACGGACCAGACUCCUACGGGAGGCAGCAGUGAGGAAUAUUGGUCAAUGGGCGAGAGCCUGAACCAGCCAAGUCGCGUGAAGGAAGAAGGAUCUAUGGUUCGUAAACUUCUUUUGCAGGGGAAUAAAGUGGAGGACGUGUCCUUUUUGUAUGUACCCUGAGAAUAAGGAUCGGCUAACUCCGUGCCAGCAGCCGCGGUAAU
rnacentral:rRNA from 1 species